rnacentral:rRNA from 1 species
UACGUAGGGUCCGAGCGUUGUCCGGAAUUACUGGGCGUAAAGCGUGCGCAGGCGGUUUUGUAAGACUGUCGUGAAAUCCCCGGGCUUAACCUGGGAAUGGCGAUGGUGACUGCAAGGCUGGAGUUUGGCAGAGGGGGGUAGAAUUCCACGUGUAGCAGUGAAAUGCGUAGAGAUGUGGAGGAACACCGAUGGCGAAGGCAGCCCCCUGGGUCAAAACUGACGCUCAUGCACGAAAGCGUGGGGAGCAAACAGG